rnacentral:rRNA from 1 species
CCUACGGGAGGCAGCAGUGGGGAAUUUUGGACAAUGGACGCAAGUCUGAUCCAGCCAUGCCGCGUGCGGGAAGAAGGCCUUCGGGUUGUAAACCGCUUUUGUCAGGGAAGAAAAGGUUCUGGUUAAUACCUGGGACUCAUGACGGUACCUGAAGAAUAAGCACCGGCUAACUACGUGCCAGCAGCCGCGGUAAUACGUAGGGUGCAAGCGUUAAUCGGAAUUACUGGGCGUAAAGCGUGCGCAGGCGGUUAUGCAAGACAGAUGUGAAAUCCCCGGGCUCAACCUGGGAACUGCAUUUGUGACUGCAUAGCUAGAGUACGGUAGAGGGGGAUGGAAUUCCGCGUGUAGCAGUGAAAUGCGUAGAUAUGCGGAGGAACACCGAUGGCGAAGGCAAUCCCCUGGACCUGUACUGACGCUCAUGCACGAAAGCGUGGGGAGCAAACAGGAUUAGAUACCCUGGUAGUCCACGCCCUAAACGAUGUCAACUGGUUGUUGGGAGGGUUUCUUCUCAGUAACGAAGCUAACGCGUGAAGUUGACCGCCUGGGGAGUACGGCCGCAAGGUUGAAACUCAAAUGAAUUGACGG